UCUUGGUCAUUUAGAGGAAGUAAAAGUCGUAACAAGGUUUCCGUAGGUGAACCUGCGGAAGGAUCAUUAAUGAAACUUCAAAGUCGGCCAAAGGUUGUUGCUGGUGAUUAUUCACAUGUGCACGCCUUUGGUCGCAAAUCCACACACACCUGUGCAUCUAUGACUCGAGGUUGUAAUGACUGAGAGUAACUUUUAUACACUCUUGUAUGUAAUGGAAUGUCUUUUUGUGCUAUAAUGUACAAUAUAAACAACUUUCAACAACGGAUCUCUUGGCUCUCGCAUCGAUGAAGAACGCAGCGAAAUGCGAUAAGUAAUGUGAAUUGCAGAAUUCAGUGAAUCAUCGAAUCUUUGAACGCACCUUGCACCCUUUGGUAUUCCGAAGGGUACGCCCGUUUGAGUGUCAUUGUAAUCUCACUUCUACAACUUUAUUGUUGUUUGAAUGUGGACUUGGAUGUUGCCGUUUUAUCACGGCUCGUCUUAAAUGCCUGAGUGUACCCUGUUUUGCAGCGUAUCCAGUGUAAUAAACAUUUCACUAGAGUUGGUUGAAAGACCACGUUGACUAUAUGGGCUCUAUGCUUCAAACCGUCUGCCAUGUGGACAAUUUCUUGACAAUUUGACCUCAAAUCGGGUGGGACUACCCGCUGAACUUAAGCAUAUCAAUAAGCGGAGGAAAAGAAACUAACAAGGAUUCCCCUAGUAACGGCGAGUGAAGAGGGAAAAGCUCAAAUUUUAAAUCUGGUGUCUUUGACUCCCGAGUUGUAAUCUAGAGAAGUGUUUUCCGUGUCGGACCGUGUACAAGUUCCCUGGAACGGGGCGUCAUAGAGGGUGAGAAUCCCGUAUAUGCCACGGACUACCGAUGCUCUGUGAUACACUCUCAACGAGUCGAGUUGUUUGGGAAUGCAGCUCAAAAUGGGUGGUAAAUUCCAUCUAAAGCUAAAUAUUGGUGAGAGACCGAUAGCGAACAAGUACCGUGAGGGAAAGAUGAAAAGCACUUUGGAAAGAGAGUGAAACAGUACGUGAAAUUGUUGAAAGGGAAGCGUUUGAAGUCAGUCGCAUCUGUUGGGGUUCAGCCUGGCUUUUGCCUGGUGUAUUUCCUUUCCGAUGGGUCAGCAUCAGUUUCGACCGAGGGAAAAAGACAUUUGGAAUGUGGCUGUCUUCGGGCAGUGUUAUAGCCUUGUGUUGUAUGUCUCGGUUGGGACUGAGGAUUGCAGCGCGCCAUAAAUGGCCGGGGGUCGCUCCUCUCGACACGCGCUUAGGAUGCUGGCAUAAUGGCUUUAAGCGACCCGUCUUG
rnacentral:rRNA from 1 species